UAAAACACCGGUUCCCGUAUGAUCACCGAAAUUAAGCAACGUUGAGUAUGGUCAGUAUCUAGAUGGGGGACCGCUUGGGAAUACCAGAUGCCGUU